UUGAGCGCUGAAGGUUGGUACUUGUACCGACUGGAUGAGCAGCGAACGGGUGAGUAACGCGUGGGGAAUCUGCCUUUGAGCGGGGGACAACAUUUGGAAACGAAUGCUAAUACCGCAUAACAACUUUAAACACAAGUUUUAAGUUUGAAAGAUGCAAUUGCAUCACUCAAAGAUGAUCCCGCGUUGUAUUAGCUAGUUGGUGAGGUAAAGGCUCACCAAGGCGAUGAUACAUAGCCGACCUGAGAGGGUGAUCGGCCACAUUGGGACUGAGACACGGCCCAAACUCCUACGGGAGGCAGCAGUAGGGAAUCUUCGGCAAUGGACGAAAGUCUGACCGAGCAACGCCGCGUGAGUGAAGAAGGUUUUCGGAUCGUAAGACUCUGUUGGUAGAGAAGAACGUUGGUGAGAGUGGAAAGCUCAUCAAGUGACGGUAACUACCCAGAAAGGGACGGCUAACUACGUGCCAGCAGCCGCGGUAAUACGUAGGUCCCGAGCGUUGUCCGGAUUUAUUGGGCGUAAAGCGAGCGCAGGUGGUUUAUUAAGUCUGGUGUAAAAGGCAGUGGCUCAACCAUUGUAUGCAUUGGAAACUGGUAGACUUGAGUGCAGGAGAGGAGAGUGGAAUUCCAUGUGUAGCGGUGAAAUGCGUAGAUAUAUGGAGGAACACCGGUGGCGAAAGCGGCUCUCUGGCCUGUAACUGACACUGAGGCUCGAAAGCGUGGGGAGCAAACAGGAUUAGAUACCCUGGUAGUCCACGCCGUAAACGAUGAGUGCUAGAUGUAGGGAGCUAUAAGUUCUCUGUAUCGCAGCUAACGCAAUAAG
rnacentral:rRNA from 1 species